AAGUCGUAACAAGGUUUCCGUAGGUGAACCUGCGGAAGGAUCAUUAGCGAAGUUCGGAAUGCCGGUUCGGUGCUGCAGCUGCCCAGCGAUGGGAUGUGCUCGUCCGGGCCGGUGUCCCUUCUCUAUUCCACCCCACUGUGAACCAAGCGUGCGAGCAGAAGAGAGAUCGGAAGCUCGCAUGCACACUUUAACAUACCCCUUAUGAAGCAUCUGAAUGUACCUUGCGUUAACUCGCACAAAUACAACUUUCAACAACGGAUCUCUUGGCUCUC
rnacentral:misc_RNA from 1 species